UGUUAAUUUUUUUAAUCCAUUUGUACUGUUAAAAAUUGACAGAUUAUGGAAUAAUAAGACAGUGAUACGUGGAGUGCCAUAUGUACCUUGUACUGGCAUAUAGGGACCGAUUUUUAACGGUAGAAAUGUAUGAGAUUUUUAACC
rnacentral:pre_miRNA from 1 species